AUUGAACGCUGGCGGCAGGCCUAACACAUGCAAGUCGAGCGGAAACGAGUUAUCUGAACCUUCGGGGAACGAUAACGGCGUCGAGCGGCGGACGGGUGAGUAAUGCCUAGGAAAUUGCCCUGAUGUGGGGGAUAACCAUUGGAAACGAUGGCUAAUACCGCAUGAUGCCUACGGGCCAAAGAGGGGGACCUUCGGGCCUCUCGCGUCAGGAUAUGCCUAGGUGGGAUUAGCUAGUUGGUGAGGUAAGGGCUCACCAAGGCGACGAUCCCUAGCUGGUCUGAGAGGAUGAUCAGCCACACUGGAACUGAGACACGGUCCAGACUCCUACGGGAGGCAGCAGUGGGGAAUAUUGCACAAUGGGCGCAAGCCUGAUGCAGCCAUGCCGCGUGUAUGAAGAAGGCCUUCGGGUUGUAAAGUACUUUCAGUCGUGAGGAAGGUGGUGUAGUUAAUAGCUGCAUUAUUUGACGUUAGCGACAGAAGAAGCACCGGCUAACUCCGUGCCAGCAGCCGCGGUAAUACGGAGGGUGCGAGCGUUAAUCGGAAUUACUGGGCGUAAAGCGCAUGCAGGUGGUUUGUUAAGUCAGAUGUGAAAGCCCGGGGCUCAACCUCGGAAUUGCAUUUGAAACUGGCAGACUAGAGUACUGUAGAGGGGGGUAGAAUUUCAGGUGUAGCGGUGAAAUGCGUAGAGAUCUGAAGGAAUACCGGUGGCGAAGGCGGCCCCCUGGACAGAUACUGACACUCAGAUGCGAAAGCGUGGGGAGCAAACAGGAUUAGAUACCCUGGUAGUCCACGCCGUAAACGAUGUCUACUUGGAGGUUGUGGCCUUGAGCCGUGGCUUUCGGAGCUAACGCGUUAAGUAGACCGCCUGGGGAGUACGGUCGCAAGAUUAAAACUCAAAUGAAUUGACGGGGGCCCGCACAAGCGGUGGAGCAUGUGGUUUAAUUCGAUGCAACGCGAAGAACCUUACCUACUCUUGACAUCCAGAGAACUUUCCAGAGAUGGAUUGGUGCCUUCGGGAACUCUGAGACAGGUGCUGCAUGGCUGUCGUCAGCUCGUGUUGUGAAAUGUUGGGUUAAGUCCCGCAACGAGCGCAACCCUUAUCCUUGUUUGCCAGCGAGUAAUGUCGGGAACUCCAGGGAGACUGCCGGUGAUAAACCGGAGGAAGGUGGGGACGACGUCAAGUCAUCAUGGCCCUUACGAGUAGGGCUACACACGUGCUACAAUGGCGCAUACAGAGGGCGGCCAACUUGCGAAAGUGAGCGAAUCCCAAAAAGUGCGUCGUAGUCCGGAUUGGAGUCUGCAACUCGACUCCAUGAAGUCGGAAUCGCUAGUAAUCGUGGAUCAGAAUGCCACGGUGAAUACGUUCCCGGGCCU
rnacentral:rRNA from 1 species